GAUAAACGCUGGCGGCGUGCCUAACACAUGCAAGUCGAACGCACUCAGCAAUGAGUGAGUGGCGGACGGGUGAGUAACACGUGGGUAUCUACCUUUGAGUGAGGAAUACCGGCGAGAAAUCGCUGACAAGACCGCAUACGCCCGUUGAGAAACGAGCAAAGCUCCUUUUCGAAGGGGCGCUGAAAGAUGAGCCCGCGGCCGAUUAGCUAGCUGGUGAGGUAACAGCUUACCAGGGCGACGAUCGGUAGCUGGUCUGAGAGGACGAUCAGCCACACUG
rnacentral:rRNA from 1 species